AACGCACAUUGCGCCUCUCGGUAUUCCGGGAGGCACGCCUGUUCGAGCGCCAUUACAAACUCCAAGCGUGGCUUGAUGUUGGGCGAUGUCUUUUUGCGGGAGCGGAGACACGCCUGGAACGCGUUGGCGCCGCCGCCGGACCACGAGCGUAGCAAGACGAGAGUCAAUCGCAUCGAUUUGGUUUCCGACGGUGGUCCGCCUUGGGAUUGGAUCACACCUUUCCUACAACUUAUCAAGUUUGGCCUCGGAUCAGGCGGGGAUACCCGCUGAACUUAA
rnacentral:misc_RNA from 1 species